AYGGYGGAGACCUAGGCACUCAGAGACGAUGAAGGGCGCAGAUACCGGCGAAACGCUUCGGGGAGCUGGCAACAAGCGUUGAUCCGAAGAUCCCCAAAUAGGGCAACCUCUAUAGAACUGCCUAGAGAAUUCAUAUUUAGGAAAGAGGCCACCCGGUGAACUGAAACAUCUAAGUAGCCGGAGGAAAAGAAAGCAAACGCGAUUCCCGUAGUAGCGGCGAGCGAACCGGGAAGAGCCUAAACCCAGGUGGAUACGCCUGGGGGUUGUGGGAGGACAAGGCUUAUCCCCAUCUUCUUGCCCGUGCCCGUAAAGGGCAAGGGAAAGGGGGUGCAAAGCACGCAAAAGCAAGUUAGACGAAGCAGCUGAAUCCUGCACCAUAGAUGGUGAAAGUCCAGUAGUCAAAAAAUUUGCAUUAAUGUCCAAUCCCGAGUAGCAUGGGACACGUGGAAUCCCGUGUGAAUCCGCGAGGACCACCUCGUAAGGCUAAAUACUCCUGAGUGACCGAUAGAGAAAGAGUACCGCGAGGGAACGGUGAAAAGAACCCCUGUUGGGGAGUGAAAUAGAACAUGAAACCGUAUGCUGACAAGCAGUGGGAGGCAAAAAAAGAGCCUGACCGCGUGCCUAUUGAAGAAUGAGCCGGCGACUUAUAGGGAGUGGCUUGGUUAAGGAGUGAAAUCCGGAGCCGGAGCGAAAGCGAGUCUGAAGAGGGCGAACACGUCACUUCCUAUGGACCCGAACCCGGGUGAUCUAACCAUGACCAAGAUGAAGCGUGGGUAAUUCCUCGUGGAGGUCUGAACCGACCGAUGUUGAAAAAUCGGCGGAUGAGUUGUGGUUAGUCGGAGAAAUUCCAAUCGAACUCGGAGCUAGCUGGAUCUCCCCGAAAUGCGUUGAGGCGCAGCGGUGCGGAGCAAAACUGUCUAGGGGUAAAGCGACUGUUUCGGUGCGGGCUGCGAAAGUGGUACCAAGUCGUGGCAAACUCUGAAUACUAGACAAUGUUUUCCGUGAACCAGUGAGAAAAUCGGGGAUAAGCUUGAUUUUCAAGAGGGAAACAGCCCAGAUCACCAGCUAAGGCCCCAAAAUGGUGACUAAGUGGAAAAGGAUGUGGGAAUGCUGAAACAACCAGGAGGUUUGCUUAGAAGCAGCCACCCUUCAAAGAGUGCGUAAUAGCUCACUGGUAAAGCGUUCCUGCGCCGACAAUGGCCGGGACUAAGUCACCUGCCGAAGCUGUGAUAUAGGUUUCUUUUUUGACUUCUUUCUAAUGCGUCGCAUGGCUGUGCUCGCUACGCUUGCGGAGCAAACCCGUAUGGGUAAAGAGCAAAGCCAAGCGAAAGGAGUGCAGAAUAAAUAAAAAAAGCAACUAUAGGUAGGGGAGCGUUCCUUUUUGGGUGAAGUUUUCGUGAAAACAAAAAUGGACAAAAAGGAAGUGAGAAUGUCGGCUUGAGUAACGAAAACAUUGGUGAGAAUCCAAUGCCCCGAAAACCUAAGGGUUCCUCCACCAGGUUCGUCCGUGGGGGGUGAGUCAGGACCUAAGGCCAGGCCGAAAGGCGUCGUCGAUGGCAAACAGGUUAAUAUUCCUGUACUCUUCUAUUGAGAUCAGAGGAACGAAGGAGGCUAGACUCUACGACGAAUGGAUGAUCGUGGAAGCGUGUAGGCGUUGAGAGGUAGAAGAAAAACUAUCCUUGAGCAGAAGCGUGAUCCUUGCCUCGUCCCCGUAAGGGGGUGCACUAGGCACAGGCUUGCCUGUUUUUUACUUUAGUAAAAGAGGGGUAUAGUCGCGAGGUGAUGAGUUGAUGCCAAACUUCCUAGAAAAGCUCUCACAUCAAAACACAAUAGCUGUGUGUUUACACACAGUGUCCGCGUAGCGGACAAAGACCUGUACCUUAAACCGACACAGGUAGGUUGGUAGAGAAUACCAAGGGGCGCGAGAGAACUCUCUCUAAGGAACUCGGCAAAUUGACCCCGUAACUUCGGAAGAAGGGGUGCUUGCCUUCUGGCUUUUAGCCAGAGGUGAGUCGCAGUGACCAGGCCCAGGCGACUGUUUAUCAAAAACACAGGUCUCCGCAAAGUCGAAAGACAAUAUAUGGGGGCUNACGCCUGCCCAGUGCCGGAAGGUUAAGGAAGUUUGUCCGAGCAGAAAUGCACAAAGCGAACGACUGAAGCCCCGGUGAACGGCGGUCGUAACUAUAACGAUCCUAAGGUAGCGAAAUUCAUUGCCAAGUAAGUUUUGGCCCGCACGAAAGGCGUAACGAUCUGGGCACUGUCUCCGAGAGAGGCUCGGUGAAAUAGACUUGUCCCGUGAAGAUGCGGACUACCUACACCUGGACAGAAAGACCCUAUGAAGCUUGACUGUAUCCUGGAAUUGGGUUUGGGCUUUUCUUGCGCAGCCUAGGUGGGAGGCGCUGAAGGUUCCCUUCCGGGGGGGCUGGAGCCAUCAUUGAGAGACCACUCUGGAAGAGCUAGAAUCCUAAUGGCGAUCCUUGAAUCAGGACGCUUGACAAUUUCAGGUGGGCAGUUUAUUUGGGGCGAAUUUCUCCUAAAAGGUAACGGAGAAGUGCAAAGGUUUCCUCAGCCUGGACGGAAAUCAGGCAUGGAGUGCAAAAGCAAAAGGGAGCUUGACUGCAAGACCGACAAGUCGAGCAGGGGCGAAAGCCGGCUUUAGUGAUCCGACGGUUCCGUGUGGAAGGGCCGUCGCUCAACGGAUAAAAGUUACUCUAGGGAUAACAGGCUGAUCUUCCCCAAGAGUCCAUAUCGACGGGAAGGUUUGGCACCUCGAUGUCGGCUCAUCACAUCCUCGGUCUGUAGUCGGUCCGAAGGGUUGGGCUGUUCGCCCAUUAAAGUGGUACGUGAGCUGGGUUCAAAACGUCGUGAGACAGUUCGGUCCAUAUCCG
rnacentral:rRNA from 1 species